AACGAACGCUGGCGGCAGGCCUAACACAUGCAAGUCGAGCGAAGCCUUCGGGCUUAGCGGCGGACGGGUGAGUAACGCGUGGGAACGUGCCCUUUGGUACGGAAUAGCCCCGGGAAACUGGGAGUAAUACCGUAUGAGGUCGAGAGACGAAAGAUUUAUCGCCAAAGGAUCGGCCCGCGUUGGAUUAGGUAGUUGGUGGGGUAAUGGCCUACCAAGCCGACGAUCCAUAGCUGGUUUGAGAGGAUGAUCAGCCACACUGGGACUGAGACACGGCCCAGACUCCUACGGGAGGCAGCAGUGGGGAAUCUUAGACAAUGGGGGAAACCCUGAUCUAGCCAUGCCGCGUGAUCGAUGAAGGCCUUAGGGUUGUAAAGAUCUUUCAGUGGGGAAGAUAAGGACUGUACCCACAGAAGAAGCCCCGGCUAACUCCGUGCCAGCCGCCGCAGUAAUAC
rnacentral:rRNA from 1 species